rnacentral:lncRNA from 1 species
UAUAGUGGGGGAGAGGGAGGGGCUGAACAUAUCAAUUCCCACGCCCCGGUGGCAGCCCUACCUCUCCCAUAACUCCGUUUUCUCCUCAGAUCGGUUCCGGCAGCGCUUGGCGAAACCCUGUUGGCACUGCUCCACCAUCAUGUCUACGAUGCCGUCAUGCUGGUUGAGAUCCCAUCGACUCUUCCUUCCUCUCUUGCUGUAUCAAGAAGGAGGAGACGUCAUCGAGCCGUACGUGUGCUGAACGCGGAGGCGCCGUUCGUUCGGUGCUAGAUCGGGAAGGAUCGUGAUGAGAUUCGGGACGGAUCGUGAUGAGAUCGCGGGACGGGCUGCGAUUUGGAUCGCGAAGUUGUUCCACUAGUAUGCUUCCGCUUAGCGAUCUACAAGGGUGUGUAGAUUCAGUCUCCCCUCUCGUAGAUGAUCAUCACCAUGGAUAGGUAUUGCGUGUGCGUAGGAAAUUUUUUGUUUCCCAUGCAACGUUCCCCAACAAAGGCCCUUCUUCACGGAGAACCACUGCCUGGGGACGCCGUUGAGCAGAACCCCUGCCUUAGAGGAGUGGAGUAUGAGGUCCAUCCAAACGCACCAAGCGGGAGGGAACCCCCGCACCUCCAAAAUCUACCGGAGGCUCGGCC